CCAGUUGAAGGUGCCUGGCCUAGUGGCUUACCAGGCGAGGUGCCUAGAUUUCAACUCGCCUAGGCGCCUCUUGACAACACUGCCCUCACUUCCUUUCCCCAUUCAUAUUUCUCUCAAACAGUGUUAAAGAUUUUCAAAGUGCAGAACUAAGAAAAAGCAAAUGACACAAGCUUCACCUUGGAAUCAUCAGGGGAUGGAAUUAUUAUGCCAGAAAUCCUCAUUGGAAUUGGAUUAAGCCGAAAACCAAUCACAGAAGGAUCCAUAUAGAACACAACACCAGCAGCACUGAGGUUUUUGGCUGUUUGCAAGGAUUGUUUGAUGGUGGAGAGCCCAAG
rnacentral:misc_RNA from 1 species